UACGAGGGGUGCAAGCGUUGCUCGGAAUUAUUGGGCGUAAAGGGUAGGUAGGUGGUCUCAUUUGUCGGGGGUGAAAGCCUUGGGCUUAACCCAAGAAGUGCCUUCGAAACGGUGAGACUGGAGUCCUGGAGAGGGUCGUGGAAUUCCCGGUGUAGCGGUGAAGUGCGUAGAGAUCGGGAGGAACACCAGAGGCGAAGGCGGCGACCUGGACAGGUACUGACACUCAACUACGAAAGCGUGGGGAGCAAACAGG
rnacentral:rRNA from 1 species